rnacentral:rRNA from 1 species
UACGAAGGGUGCAAGCGUUACUCGGAAUUACUGGGCGUAAAGCGUGCGUAGGUGGUGAGUUAAGUCUGUCGUGAAAGCCCCGGGCUCAACCUGGGAAUGGCGAUGGAUACUGGCUCGCUGAGAGUGCGGUAGAGGAGAGUGGAAUUCCCGGUGUAGCAGUGAAAUGCGUAGAGAUCGGGAGGAACAUCAGUUGCGAAGGCGGCUCUCUGGACCAGCACUGACACUGAGGCACGAAAGCGUGGGGAGCAAACAGG